GAUGAACGCUAGCGGCAGGCUUAAUACAUGCAAGUCGAGGGGCAGCGCAGUGUAGCAAUACAUGGGCGGCGACCGGCAAACGGGUGCGGAACACGUACACAACCUUCCUAUAAGUGGGGGAUAGCCCAGAGAAAUUUGGAUUAAUACCCCGUAAGAUAACGAUGUGGCAUCACAUUGUUAUUAAAGCUACGGCGCUUAUUGAUGGGUGUGCGGCUGAUUAGAUAGUUGGCGGGGUAAAGGCCCACCAAGUCUACGAUCAGUAGCUGAUGUGAGAGCAUGAUCAGCCACACGGGCACUGAGACACGGGCCCGACUCCUACGGGAGGCAGCAGUAAGGAAUAUUGGUCAAUGGACGCAAGUCUGAACCAGCCAUGCCGCGUGAAGGAUUAAGGUCCUCUGGAUUGUAAACUUCUUUUAUAUGGGACGAAAAAAGGACAUUCUUGUCCGUCUGACGGUACCAUAUGAAUAAGCACCGGCUAACUCCGUGCCAGCAGCCGCGGUAAUACGGAGGGUGCAAGCGUUAUCCGGAUUCACUGGGUUUAAAGGGUGCGUAGGCGGGCAGGUAAGUCAGUGGUGAAAUCCUGGAGCUUAACUCCAGAACUGCCAUUGAUACUAUCUGUCUUGAAUAUUGUGGAGGUAAGCGGAAUAUGUCAUGUAGCGGUGAAAUGCUUAGAUAUGACAUAGAACACCUAUUGCGAAGGCAGCUUACUACGCAUAUAUUGACGCUGAGGCACGAAAGCGUGGGGAUCAAACA
rnacentral:rRNA from 1 species